rnacentral:rRNA from 1 species
GUCCACGCUGUAAACGAUGAUUACUCGUUUUCGGCGAUACACAGUCGGAGACUAAGCGAAAGUGAUAAGUAAUCCACCUGGGGAGUACGAUCGCAAGGUUGAAACUCAAAGGAAUUGACGGGGGCCCGCACAAGCGGUGGAGCAUGUGGUUUAAUUCGAUGAUACGCGAGGAACCUUACCAGGGCUUAAAUGCAAGUUGCAUGAUGUGGAAACAUGUCAGUCUUCGGACAAUUUGCAAGGUGCUGCAUGGCUGUCGU